rnacentral:rRNA from 1 species
UACAGAGGUCUCAAGCGUUGUUCGGAUUCAUUGGGCGUAAAGGGUGCGUAGGCGGCGCGGUAAGUCGGGUGUGAAAUCUCGGAGCUUAACUCCGAAACUGCAUACGAUACUGCCGUGCUUGAGGACUGGAGAGGAGACUGGAAUUUACGGUGUAGCGGUGAAAUGCGUAGAUAUCGUAAGGAAGACCAGUGGCGAAGGCGGGUCUCUGGACAGUUCCUGACGCUGAGGCACGAAGGUCAGGGGAGCAAACGGG